rnacentral:rRNA from 1 species
AAACUAAGCAUAUCAAUAAGCGGAGGAAAAGAAACCAACCGGGAUUGCCUUAGUAACGGCGAGUGAAGCGGCAAAAGCUCAAAUUUGAAAUCUGGUACCUUCGGUGCCCGAGUUGUAAUUUGGAGAGGGCAACUUUGGGGCCGUUCCUUGUCUAUGUUCCUUGGAACAGGACGUCAUAGAGGGUGAGAAUCCCGUGUGGCGAGGAGUGCGGUUCUUUGUAAAGUGCCUUCGAAGAGUCGAGUUGUUUGGGAAUGCAGCUCUAAGUGGGUGGUAAAUUCCAUCUAAAGCUAAAUAUUGGCGAGAGACCGAUAGCGAACAAGUACAGUGAUGGAAAGAUGAAAAGAACUUUGAAAAGAGAGUGAAAAAGUACGUGAAAUUGUUGAAAGGGAAGGGCAUUUGAUCAGACAUGGUGUUUUGUGCCCUCUGCUCCUUGUGGGUAGGGGAAUCUCGCAUUUCACUGGGCCAGCAUCAGUUUUGGUGGCAGGAUAAAUCCAUAGGAAUGUAGCUUGCCUCGGUAAGUAUUAUAGCCUGUGGGAAUACUGCCAGCUGGGACUGAGGACUGCGACGUAAGUCAAGGAUGCUGGCAUAAUGGUUAUAUGC